GAUUAUUAACACGGUGGCAGAAGGAGAAGCUAUAAAUAAAACAAGCUUUAUCCAAAUUAGGAAGAGCUAACAAAGACAACUCAGAAAGUGAAAGUGAACCAAGAAGAUUGCGUUGCUCUCAAGAAACGAUGUUAAUUAAAACUUUAGAAAGCAUGAUAACUAUGAGUGAAACUUUCUUUUUGCAUCUUUGAAGAUAAGAACCUAAAAAACAAGGAUGAUUUUUGUAUUCCUUGUCUUUGUUGUCUCAUGCAUGGUACUGACCAAAUGGCUUGCCAAUCAGAGUAGAUCAGUGUGAACCUAUUAGCAUGUAUAUAUGAUUUAUUUCACACACACACACACACACACACACACACACACACACACACAUAAUUAUUAAGUUAUGUAUAGUGCUUACUAGGAAAAAUCAUGAGUGCUAAUAAUACUUGAUUUAAAACCCAUUAUAAACACAAUGUUGUAACUCAAAAUUUAAUGUUAUUUUCCUGUCCAAUGUCAUAGAGCAGUAGACUAUAAGUAUACUUAUAAGUAUAAGUAUUCAGGGUUAGUUAUUUCUUCAUGACCGCACUUCCAAACAGGACCUGUGUCUCUUCGAUCACCCAACAUGG
rnacentral:lncRNA from 1 species